UUGGACUUUGUUUGCGCAGUAUAGGUGGGAGGCGUUGAGAAUAUUCUUGCGGGAAUAUUGGAGCCAUCAGUGAGAUACCACUCCUAUAAUGUUAGAUUUCUAACUUUGUAUCAUAAUCUGGUCAAAGAACAGUUUCAGGCGGGCAGUUUGACUGGGGCGGUCGCCUCCCAAAUGGUAACGGAGGCGUACAAAGGUUUCCUCUGAACGGGUAGAAAUCGUAUCUAGAGUAUAAAGGCAUAAGGAAGCUUGACUGUGAGACCUACAAGUCGAGCAGGGACGAAAGUCGGUCUUAGUGAUCUGACGGUGCUGAGUGGAAAGGCCGUCACUCAACGGAUAAAAGUUACUCUAGGGAUAAC
rnacentral:rRNA from 1 species